rnacentral:rRNA from 1 species
UACGUGAGGUACAAACGUUACCCGGAAUUAUUGGGCGUAAAGCGUCCACAGGCGGCUUGUUAAGUCGGAUGUAAAAUCUUGAGGCUCAACUUCAAGUGUGUGUCCGAAACUGACUCGCUAGAGUCUUGGAGAGGUGAGUGGAAUUCUGAAUGUAGGGGUAAAAUCCGUAGAUAUUCAGAGGAACACCAAAAGCGAAGGCAGCUCACCGGCCAAGUACUGACGCUCAAGGACGAAAGCGUGGGGAGCGAACGGG